UCUGGAGACAGAGGUCUUUUUGUGCUAAACCAGGACGACUGGUCAUCCUAACAGAGACGGAACCAGCUAUGUGCCUUAUCUAAGGUCGAAGGGCCCUUUGGACUCCAUAUCGAACUCAAGUGUCAACAUUGAGUUUGGCUUCUCUGCUGCUGUGCAUUAUGCAGGGCCACCGUCCUCAGCAAAGGGCUUGAGUGCCCUGCCCUGCCCUGCCCCGGCCCAGGAGCACUUCCUGCUUCUCUGUUGUUCGCCUCCCCUCCUAAAGCCCACUCUGAAUUAUCCCAGCAAGGCUCAUCCACACAGGCAGCAAACUGACUGACUUACUGACACUGAGCAAUGGGGAGCAAAGAAUCCUGAGAUUCUCAGAACCACUGAGGGAGGGAGAGACCUCUGCCAGGGAGUGCCUCGGUGUGGAGUGUUUAGUUUCUAGGCAUCCUGGGCCCUCCAACAAGAGGCCACGGCUGUGGGCACCUUGUCCGAAACAGUGAGACAGCCCUGCUCGGAGCCUUCCACAGACCACUGCCUCCCUGGACCUUGACGCUGAGAGAUGGCUGGUAGGUCUGCCUGCCUUAGACCCCACAGUCUGCUCGGGGACCUGACAAGGACUUUCAGAAGGUGAACUUUUCCCUACUGCAGGAUUCUCCAGAUGGAACAAAAAAGGAAGGCUGCUGAGCUGAUGACAGUGCCUGUAUCUCAUUGACCCACCAUGCAGCUCGUCCUCAGGAAGCCCUCGGGAGCACUGGGGUCUUAACUCCUAAAUAUUCCUGCAGCCUCUCCUCUUCUCUUCUCCAAGUCAACCUGUAGCCCAAUCAUCUGCUUAUGUGCAGGGACCUUAAUUUAUCUUAUGUCCCCAGGGCCUGCCAGAAUGAUUUGCACAUGAUAGGUGCUCAGGAUGUACUGAGUAAGUGAAUAAUAGACAGGCUGACCACAGAGGCCAUGCAGGCAAGCUGCUAAGAGCCUCUGGGCAGACUGAUGGCUGUGCUGACAAUUAUGGCCUUUGUUUUUGCAGCAUGGGGGUCCUAGGGAAAGUGUUGUCCCAGCCACUGGUGUCUCCUUCCUUCCAUGUUAUGCCGUGGGAUUUGUGACCCAACUCCCUAUCUGUGGAGAUGAACCAGCCUUCGUAUGGCUGAGAGGAGCAAGACUGGGCUCAUUCCUGGGAUCCUAUUGUUCCCCAUCUCCCACCUGGAACCACCAAGUUCCAGCUCAGUCCUCUGUUGGAAGAGAAAGAAGCUGAGACUCUAUAACUCUGAUUGCCUAAAAUUUCAGUUAGGUGGCAUUAUCUAGAGGAAGUGCUGGCCCUUGGCUUUCUUCAUGUCUGUGGUUCACAGUGGGGGGCAGUUUUGUCUCCUGAACUUGGCAAUGCCUGGAGACAUUUUUGGAUGUCAAGACUGGGGAGAGCGGUGUGCUACUGGGAUCUGGUGCUCAGAGGGCAGGAAUGCCGUCAAACACCCUACAAUGCCCAUGGCAGCCCCCACCACACAGAAUUGUUUGUUUCCAAAUGUCAAUGGUCCUCAGUUGAGAAGGCCUGCUCUACAGCCACGAAAAUGAAUCUCUUUUCUAUUCCCAAGCCAGGAACUCACUUUUCCACUCGAGUAUAAUGUUGUUGUUGUGUGUGUGUUUUUUUUUUUUUUUUAAGCCAAUGUGCAGACAGUUAAAAAGUGGGGCCUCCACCUGUUCUCGCAGGGCCGGAACAGACGCAUUUGUCACAGACCAGAGGCCCUAGCAGAGCUUGGGAUCCCACGUAUGGCCGCUGGGGGGCAGCAGCGAUUUCUCCUGGUUUAUUGCGUGAGAUGAAUGUAAGCGUUUCCGGCCCACAAAGCCUUUGGUCUGGGGCACCCCCAGGAGCAGAACAUGGAAAUGGAGCCCUACAUGCUACCUGAGCUAAGAGAAAGUGGCUUUUUGUUUCUUGUGAGGUGCAAGGGGAUUUCAAAAAGGGGACUCGUGAGCCACAGGGCCUCCCGGUACAGCAGUCUGGAGGUAAGGCAGCCUCCUUCCCCUUCCACCUCCUCUCCUCUCCACCUUCCUUCCGCCCCCCAGCUCAUCCGCAUCCAGGGAUCCAGAGCCAGGAGGCAGAAUCAGCACUGUCCUGCCACCCUCCCUUCCCAGGAAUCCUGGCUAUGUGAAGCCCAGGCCCUGGGGCCCUUUCCAGCUCCCUGCACGCUGAGGCAAUGGCCGCCUGUAUCACACCAGGCCGUGAAUCUAUCCUGACAGCUGUGGCCACCCAGCUUUUCUUUCUUGGAAAGAAGAGUAAGACGGGGUGAGGCUAGCCCUGCCCCCGACAAGGCUACAGUGAGGUAAGGAACUUGAGGGUGCUGGCCACACCAACACACUGUGCAAACACCCAUCAGCGUGGCCUCUGCCGCAGGGGGAGCUCCCAAGAGGUGUGGUCUUAACACACUGGCCCUGGGUGCUGGGAAAGUGAACAAGGUCACGGCUGAAGCUUGCCACCAUCAGUUCUUUCUGGAACAAGGAACUAGAGAAACAUACAUUGAACACAGUUGAAAGUCUAAAGACUGCUCUGAGCUUGGCCGCUCAGGAAGACUUCCCUGGGAAGGUAGUUCCCUGCCAGGUGUGGAAAUGCAGGAAGUAGGAGUGCAAGACUUUGCUCUCAUCCUUGCCGUCGGGGGUGUUUGGGAUUUGUGUGACCUUAAGACAGUGAAGUGCCAGUAAAUAAAGGACAUUAAAAUGCAGAAAAUAA